UACAGAGGGGGCAAGCGUUGUUCGGAAUUACUGGGCGUAAAGGGCGCGUAGGCGGCCUUCUAAGUCGAACGUGAAAUCCCCGGGCUCAACCCGGGAACUGCGUCUGAUACUGGAAGGCUUGAAUCCGGGAGAGGGAUGUGGAAUUCCAGGUGUAGCGGUGAAAUGCGUAGAUAUCGGGAGGAACACCAGUGGCGAAGGCGGCUAUCUGGAUCAACACUGACACUGAGGCACAAAAGCGUGGGUAGCAAACAGG
rnacentral:rRNA from 1 species